GAUGAAGAACGUAGCGAAAUGCGAUAAGUAAUGUGAAUUGCAGAAUUCAGUGAAUCAUCGAAUCUUUGAACGCACAUUGCGCCCGCCAGUAUUCUGGCGGGCAUGCCUGUUCGAGCGUCAUUUCAACCCUCAAGACCCCUUCGGGGGACUUGGUGUUGGGGACCGGCACAGGGGCCUGCCUGCUUGUCUUGCAGCGCCCUCGCCGCCCCCGAAAUGAAUUGGCGGCCUCGUCGCGGCCUCCCCUGCGUAGUAGCACAACCUCGCAACGGGAACGUGACGGCGGCCACUGCCGUAAAACAACCCCAAUUUUAUUAGAGUUGACCUCGAAUCAGGUAGGAAUACCCGCUGAACUUAAGCAUAUCAAUAAGCGGAGAA
rnacentral:misc_RNA from 1 species